rnacentral:rRNA from 1 species
AACGCGAAGAACCUUACCAGGGCUUGACAUGCACGGUGCAGCCGUAGAGAUACGGUGUCCUUUGGGGUCGUGCACAGGUGGUGCAUGGUUGUCGUCAGCUCGUGUCGUGAGAUGUUGGGUUAAGUCCCGCAACGAGCGCAACCCUCGUCCUGUAUUGCCAGCAGCGGCUUCGGCCGGCUGGGGACUUGCGGGAGACUGCCGGGGUCAACUCGGAGGAAGGUGGGGACGACGUCAAAUCAUCAUGCCCCUUAUGUCCUGGGCUGCACGCAUGCUACAAUGGCCGGUACAGAGGGCUGCGAUACCGUGAGGUGGAGCGAAUCCCGUAAAGCCGGUCUCAGUUCGGAUCGGGGUCUGCAACUCGACUACAUGAAGCUGGAAUCGCUAGUAAUCGCGGAUCAGAACGCCGCGGUGAAUACGUUCCCGGGCCUUGUACACACCGAGACGUA